CGACUGUGAAAUGCAAUGCUCUGUGGAGAGUUUUAAGAAUUGAAAACAAAACAUCUUUCAUGGAGGAAUGCUGCUUUAAAGGUAAGAGAUGACUCAAAGGAUGACACAUACUUACUGCCUGCUGAGGAACUCCAAGGGGAACCCUGACCGAGGAACUCGCUGCAUACCGAAGUGCGCCAAACUGCUCUCAUAGCAUCGCCUGUGCAAAACAUGUUCCACAUCACAGGGUAACCUUAAGGGAAAUAGCUUUGAACAUCCAGAAUUAGACAUUGCUAUUAGACAUUACAAGAGGAGAGAUUCUGGCUUUUAAUGUUGCUUCCAUCCUGGGACUGGUUUGUACAGGAAGGAAUGUCAUUUUUGUUUGCAUUCCUUACUGAGAAGAUGUCAGUGCUAUCCACUGAUAGCACAUUUUUUCCUCUCAAGUGUGUGUUGGCCUUCACUGAAUGCCAGACAAAACUUCAGAGAACAUACAGGACACAUAGGAAGCAUCUGGCCAGCUACUGCCUGUCAGCUCUCUAGGCUGCAAGAUCUUGAUGAAGUUCAUCUUCAUAGGAAAACAUUAAAAUUUUGAGAGCAAUAUAUAAUUUGUGAUUGAAGAGAUCAACCCACUCUACAUGUCGAUCAGGAAACCCCUAUCUGUGCAACUUGGUCGCACGCAGGAUAAGCUCUGCAGCGGCUAUCUUAAUGGAAACAAAAGAAAGCGGAGCUUCACUCCAGGAAAUCAAUCCAUGUUUGUUCCAUAAAAAAUGGAACAAUUCUUAAUAGCAGCAGUUUUAAACAUAUGACCUGCUGACAGACAACACUGUGGUCACUGAUCAAUGCUCUUCCCCAUACACACCCCUGUAAGAAAGAAGGCUGAAACAAAGGUACCGACUGUUCCAAAAUCAAAGUGUACCCAUUCAUUUACACAUCACACUGGAGCCAAAAGUUGUGCCUUAUUUGACAGCGUCAGAAAAGAGAAACUUAGGAAAAAAAAAAAAAAAAGGAAAAAGCCUUACAAAAAUGCCAAUUUAUCAGACUGCCAAGGGAUAAAACCUUGUCAUAUAUCUUUCAUGCACUACAUACAGGCUUCUGUAACCUCUUCCUCUCUUCCUCGGAUCUCCAAGCUGUUUGCAAACAUAAAGGAAUGAAACCCCUCACCUCCCAUGAAGUAGGUGAUUUGUUUCUAUUAAUACAUAAAUGAAAGAGGAAAUUAAUUAAGGAGCAGAAAGAGCAAGAAGCACAAGAUCACACAGGGAGAGCACUGUAAUCACUACGUUCUGUCCACUUAAGAGUAGCACUUACACGUUAAUGCCUUCCUGCUCUCCAUCAAGCUCUUGCAAUGAACCGUGCUUCCCAGACUCCUCCAGUCCCAGCUAGCUUCGUGGCUUGGUUUCCCUUCAGGGACGUGGAGUUUUUCCUUCACAUUCACACCAUCGCACCUCUGCCCCCACAUUUAAUUAUUAUUUAUGUUGAAUAUAAAUAGCAAAGGAGAUGAUCCUAAGAUGAAUAAUGAAGAAGCAACAAGAGACAAGAAAACUGCUCGCGUCAGCUGGUAUCCUACCUGCUUUGUAUUAAAUACAUCUCAGCACUGGGUCUCUGCAUACCAGAGGAGGAAGGCCAUGGAAAGCAAAGAGAAGACCAACCAGAAGUCUACAACCCUCACAGAGAACAAACGGCACCCAUGUCCCUCAAACAGUACAGUAUUGUGCAGCCAACAUGAAGCUUACUAGCACAGAUAUUUGGCAAUGGAGAAGCCUGAUGGUUUUUUGACCACAGCUGGAUGAGGAUGAGCUCUGAUCACCCAGUCUGACUCCCAGGACUGAGCUAUUCCACCAGGUCCCAGCCUGCUCAAAGAAGCCUUGAUUUAAAGUUUCUCAAAGCAGCAAAUCCAAUGGGACUCAAAGACUUUGUAAGGAUAAACCACCCUCCCCCUUCACAUCUCCCCACAAAAAGGUCAUUACUCUUUUGGCUCUUCUCUUUCAUUACAAAAACAAAGCAACUGAGCUUUGUUUUGAGCAACAAACCAAGUAAUACCUUGCUGUACAAAUAUUUCAUUUUCAGCAGAAAAAUUUUUUCAGUGUAUUUAUGAAGAAAGCAUUCUUGCUGUAACAGAACACCAUGUUCUGGCAGAGACGUCCCAGGCACAACUGAGAAAGCCAUCUCCCUGAUGAGGGAUCAGAAGAUCAAAGUUGUGUUUUAUUAGUUAUAUAAAAAGUAUCUUUAGCUCUCCGUUGAAAGGAAAAAUUUGCAUUUAAAUAGAAAGAUUAAUAACUGUAAUACACAGAGCCCACACUGAAUAAUUUUUUGUAACAUAAAAUAAUUCAUAUUGUUUUAUAUAAACUGUGCACCUUAAGUCAAGCCACAAAAAAUGAUAAUCGUAAUAUUUUAUGGAACAAUUUUAAUAUAAUACAGCUUUGUUACAUUAUUAUUCUCCAUUGUAAAUAAUGCAUGUCUGGAGGUUUGGGAAAGACUGGAUUUAAAAUACUUAUCUCUGAAAAUUCAAUAGGGCGUGUGCUUUUUGGUGUGUUUACACUAUGCAUGAGUUUUAC
ensembl:lncRNA